CGCACGGUCGAUGGAUUCUGACCGUGGGGUAGUAUUCAUGAUUCAGAUUAGUAUGUAUGUGUAUGGGUAUCAGGUAUUGUGGGUCCAUGACUUCCAAUAGAUGUAAGCAUCUAUUGUUAAUUACUCCCGUGACAUUGGGGCACCUUCAAUUAAGAGACCUUUGUAAAGAUGGGAUUGAAUGAAUCGUAUCUUGAUUUAUUGAUUGAACACUAAGUAUAUGUAUUAGGAUUCAGUUGGAUCUGAAGUUGACUAGAGUAAAGAAAAGGUUUUGGGUUUGGAUUUGGAUUCGGGUUUGGGUUCGGAUUUGGUUUUAGUUUGGAUUUGGGUUUUAGUUUUAUUUGUGGACUUGAUUUAGAUUUUGAGUUUGGAUUUGGAUUUGUGAACUUGAUUUGGGUUGGGUUUGGAUUUUAUUUGUGGACUAGAUUUGAAUUUUGGGUUCGGAUUUGGGCUUUAUUUGUGGACUUGGUUGGAAGAUAUUUUGGGGGUUGGUUGGGGAUUCGAAAUUCGAAAUUGAAUUUUGAAUCGGUUGUUGGAUGGAUAGGUAUUCCAAAUUCGAAUGAAUGUGGUUGGUUCGGAGAUUUUUGGGAGUUGGUUGGGAAUUCGAAAUUGGAAAUCAAAUUUUGAAUCGGUUGUGAUUUGUUGGAAGUUAUUUUGGGAGUUGGUUGGGAAUUCGAAAUUCGAAAUCGAAUUUUGAAUCAGUUGUGAUUUGAAAUCGAAUUUCGAAUGGGGUUGUUAGGAUAACAGAUAUUUUCUAGAGUGUGGAUAUGGGCCUUCAUUGAUCGGGCUCACUUUAAUGAAAUUUGUUGGGCACAAAUAUUCAAUAGGCUGAAAUGAGGCCCGAAUUAUUGUAUAGGUCUAAAAUUUUAAAGGGCUUUCAUGAGGCCCACUAACUUACAUUUAUGAAUGGGCUUAUUAUAGAUUUAAAUUAUAAUUAUUGGCCCCAACAUGAGACG
rnacentral:lncRNA from 1 species